UACGGAGGGUGCAAGCGUUAAUCGGAAUUACUGGGCGUAAAGCGCACGCAGGUGGCUGAGUCAGUCGAUUGUGAAAGCCCUGGGCUUAACCUGGGAAUUGCAGUCGAUACUACUCAGCUAGAGUAUGGGAGAGGGCAGUGGAAUUCCCGGUGUAGCGGUGAAAUGCGUAGAUAUCGGGAGGAACAUCAGUGGCGAAGGCGGCUGACCUGGCCCAAUACUGACACUCAGGUGCGA
rnacentral:rRNA from 1 species